UGGGCAGACACAGGUGGGGACCUUCAGAGCCCACCUGAGAGUUUUUUUCUUCUCUGUUGCUGCAGCUGCCUUUCGGUGCGGAGUGUGCGGGUGAGGAAAGAGCUGGAGAAGAGAAAGGAGGCCCUGCAGAAAGACAAGACCAAGAGCAGAGCUCCGAACAUCCCUGGGAAUUCUGCAGAGGAUCUUCUGAUCUGCGUUGGUGAGAAAGUCCCUGUGCUUCCAGUGCCGAAGAUGACACGAGCAUCAGGGAAACCAGCGCGGACCCCUCGCAGCUGUGAGCAGCUGUCAGCCCAAUAAAGACUGUUGCUUCCUGCUGGAGGGACCAGCACGGGCUUUGUAGUGUUCUGAUUUCACACAAACAGAGCAUGGUUGAGGUUGGGAGGUACCUGAAGAGGUCAGCUUGGCCAACCCCCUGCUCAAACAGGGCCACCCAGCACCAGUGUCCAAGGACCAUGCCCUGUGCAGAUGGCUUUCAAGUUGACUGAAUAUGAGCCAGCAGCGUGUUCAGGUGGCCAAGAUGGCCAACAGCAUC